rnacentral:lncRNA from 1 species
UUUUAUUUUUUAACUCAUUUCCAGACACUAUAUAUCACCUCCCAUCUUUACUUUCAUCUUCUUAUUAUUUCCACAAAAAGCCCUAACCCCCAAACUCCCCCUUCCCACUUACCAUAUGCCAUUUCUCUCCUCUCUCCUAUCUCCUCUCUCCUCUCUCCUCCACAAAGUUGAGAGACUAGCUAGCUAGAAAUAGUUGCUUUCCCUUUUGUAGAAAAUAUUUCCCAAUCUCUUCAAACAUUUCUGAAUACAUAGCCAAUAACAAAAAAAGCCAAUAACCAAUUAACCACUAUCAUCAUAGUCAUCAUACUACUAUAUAUAUAUAUAUAUAUAUAUAUAUAUAUAUUUGCCUUUCAAG